GUGGGGAAUAUUGGGCAAUGGGCGCAAGCCUGACCCAGCAACGCCGCGUGAAGGAAGAAGGCUUUCGGGUUGUAAACUUCUUUUAUGAGGGACGAAGAAAAUGACGGUACCUCAUGAAUAAGCCACGGCUAACUACGUGCCAGCAGCCGCGGUAAUACGUAGGUGGCAAGCGUUAUCCGGAUUUACUGGGUGUAAAGGGCGUGUAGGCGGGACUGCAAGUCAGAUGUGAAAUUCCAGGGCUCAACCCUGGACCUGCAUUUGAAACUGUGGUUCUUGAGUGAUGGAGAGGCAGGCGGAAUUCCCUGUGUAGCGGUGAAAUGCGUAGAUAUAGGGAGGAACACCAGUGGCGAAGGCGGCCUGCUGGACAUUAACUGACGCUGAGGCGCGAAAGCGUGGGGAGCAAACAGGAGUAGAAACCCCAGUAGUCC
rnacentral:rRNA from 1 species